rnacentral:lncRNA from 1 species
UGAUGCUAAUAGUAUCAACUAAAUCAUCCUAAUUUAUUGCCUUCUUAAUGGCUUCUAUCUUUCUAACCAUAGCUUCUUUCAAUUGCUUGAAGGUAGCUAUUCUCACAUGGAAUCUAAUUAUUCUUCCAACAUAAUCAUCUACAAGCUUCUUCAUACCUCCUCUUCUAAAAUUAAGCUCCAAAGAUUGAUUUGUGGUGGUCAACUUCAUUCUACCUUCUGUGAAGAAGAUAAUUCUUUUUUUUAAGUCUUCACCAUAUUUAGAGCAAUCUUUUCUUUCAUACUCA